ensembl:lncRNA
GCACUGUAAAAAAUUAAAAGUAGAUAAUACUUAAAAGUAAGGCAACCAGCUUCAGCAGAUUUCUGAGUUUUCUCAACUUGUUUUUGUAGACUUACAACUUUGCCAGGGAUGUGAGCAACCAUAUCAUUCAGUUCAGUAAUGACACCACAGUGUCAGGGCUCAUCUGAUGAUAAUGAUGAGACCAUGUGCAUAGAAGAGGUGAGAGAGUAAGGAAUAUGAACCCUCUGUAUGACAACAAGACAAAAGAGUUAAUUGUUGGUGUAAGAGCCACAUAGACACUAGUUCAUCUGAAAUAAUAAUUUAGUAAAAUGAAUAAGAAAAUAUUUUAUUAAAAUUCAUAAGAAAUAUUUUGGUUUAAAAUGCAUACUUAGUAAUGUGUAGAUCUGUUAACAUUUAAUUAUUUUGAGCUUCCAGUCAGAUCGCACUACGUCAUAAUGCAAGCGAUUGGAUGUUUAGUUUUAGUUUGAAGUUAGAGACGUUGGACAUUUUUUAUUUUAUGUUUUGGAAGUAAACAUUUCAAAAGAAGAUCGUGGUUUGCUCGUGUUUCAAAUACUGGUUAUAAUUCGACUGACUUCAAAAAGUGGUACAGAACAAUUAGAAGCAACUAGGUGCCACUACAUUAGUCAAAAAACUCGCUAAUCUGAAACGCCAUUGGAUUACUUGGAUAAGAGGAGGACGUGGCGAGCUUGUUGUUGGAUGAGGAAACAGCGGAUUGGACUUUAGCGCCGCGAACAAGCCACAGAGCUGGGACAAGUCUGCUCAAGAGACCCGCGACGGAUCUGCAGUUUCACCGCUGUUUGUCGAGAUUUCCUCCGCCCCGCUAGCUAACGGCUAGUUGGCCUGUCAGUCAACAGAGAAGUGACGCUGCAAGCUGAAGUGUGGACUUUUUUCUUAAAAAAGACGGGAUACAAACGAACGAGGAUAAUGAGUGAGUUUGGAAGAGAAAAAAAGUAUAUCAGCUUCUCCCUGUAAAACGUAUGCUUAGCAAGCUCUGAUUCAGUCAAUGUUGAGUUAUGGCGAUUUUUAAGAAGUUGUUUUGCACUCGGUUUAUUUAGAAAAGUACCUUUGAAGAAAGUGUUUGAAACGUUUGCAUACGACUAAAUCA